rnacentral:rRNA from 1 species
AAUCGAACCCGGAGAUAGCUGGUUCUCCCCGAAAUAGCUUUAGGGCUAGCGUCGCAGCGAGAGAGCCGUGAAGGUAGAGCACUGAAUAUGCGAUGGCCGCAUCCCGCGGUACUGAGCAUAAUCAAACUCCGAAUGUCACGGUGUCAUCUGCGGCAGUCAGACGGCGAGUGAUAAGGUCCGUCGUCAAGAGGGAAACAGCCCAGACCAUCAGCUAAGGUCCCAAAGUGCAUGCUAAGUGGAAAAGGAAGUGGAGACGUGCAGACAACUAGGAGGUUGGCUCAGAAGCAGCCAUCCUUCAAAGAGUGCGUAACAGCUCACUAGUCGAAUGACUCUGCGCCGAUAAUUUACCGGGGCUAAGCAUGACACCGAAGCUAUGGACAGGAAUGUGGUAGGGGAGCAUUGCAUGCAGCGGAGAAGCAUGACCGAGAGGGCAUGUGGAGCGCAUGGAAGAGAGAAUGCCGGCGUGAGUAGCGGCACGUGGGUGAGAAUCCCACGCACCGAUGGCCCAAGGUCUCCAGAGGAAGGCUCGUCCUCUCUGGGAUAGUCGGGACCUAAGGCGAGGCCGAAAGGCGUAGCCGAUGGACGACGGGUGGAUAUUCCCGUACCCGAUGUGUGGCGAUGGAGUGACGGAGAAGGCUCAGGCAACCAGCUGCUGGAAUAGCUGGGGCAAGCGAGAUACCUGCGCACCAGGGAAAUCCGGUGCGCGCAGGGGGAAGGCGCGAAGCAUACGGAAAGCUGCGGCAAGUACGGAAAAGCUGAGAGCAGGCUUCCAGGAAAAGCUUCUAGCACAACACGCAUCGGCCCGUACCGAAAAUGGACACACAUGGGCAAGGAGAGAAUCCUGAGGUGAGCGAGAGAACUAUAGCUAAGGAACUCUGCAAAAUGACCCCGUAACUUAGGGAGAAGGGGUGCUCCAGAAAUGGAGCCGCAGUAAAACGGCCCAAGCGACUGUUUACCAAAAACACAGCUCUCUGCGAAGGCGCAAGCCGAAGUAUAGGGGGUGACGCCUGCCCGGUGCUGGAAGGUCAAGGGGAGCUGUCAGCGCAAGCGAAGCAGCGAGCCGAAGCCCCAGUAAACGGCGGCCGUAACUAUAACGGUCCUAAGGUAGCGAAAUUCCUUGUCGGGCAAGUUCCGACCCGCACGAAAGGCGUAACGAUUUGGGCGCUGUCUCAGCUGUAGACUCGGUGAAGUCUUAGUACCUGUGAAGAUGCAGGUUGCCCGCGACUAGACGGAAAGACCCCAUGGAGCUUCACUGCAGGUUGACAUUGGGCUUGGAUGCAUGAUGUACAGGAUAGGUGGGAGGCUGUGAGCCGUGCGCGCCAGCGUACGGGGAGCCGCUGUUGGGAUACCACCCUUCAUGCAUCUAGGUCCUAACCGGAGGCAACGGGCCACGGGACAGUGUCAGUCGGGCAGUUUGACUGGGGCGGUCGCCUCCCAAAGAGUAACGGAGGCGCCCAAAGAUACCCUCAGCAUGGAUGGAAACCAUGCAUAGAGUGCAAAGGCAUAAGGGUGUCUGACUGCGAGACAUACAGGUCGAGCAGGGACGAAAGUCGGGCUUAGUGAUCCGGCGGAUCCGAAUGGAAGGGCCGUCGCUCAACGGAUAAAAGCUACCCUGGGGAUAACAGGCUGAUCUCCCCCAAGAGUUCACAUCGACGGGGAGGUUUGGCACCUCGAUGUCGGCUCAUCGCAUCCUGGAGCUGGAUUCGGUUCCAAGGGUUGGGCUGUUCGCCCAUUAAAGCGGUACGCGAGCUGGGUUCAGAACGUCGUGAGACAGUUCGGUCCCUAUCUGUCGUGGGCGCAGGAGGUUUGAGGAGAGCUGCCCCUAGUACGAGAGGACCGGGGUGGACGGACCGAUGGUGCACCAGUUGUCACGCCAGUGGCACAGCUGGGCAGCCAAGUCCGGACGGGAUAAGCGCUGAAGGCAUCUAAGCGUGAAGCCCCCUCCAAGAUGAGACCUCCCAUUGG